GACGAACGCUGGCGGCGUGCUUAACACAUGCAAGUCGUACGGUAAGGCCCUUUCGGGGGUACACGAGUGGCGAACGGGUGAGUAACACGUGAGUAACCUGCCCACAACUUUGGGAUAACGCUAGGAAACUGGUGCUAAUACUGGAUAUGUGCUCCUGCUGCAUGGUGGGGGUUGGAAAGCUCCGGCGGUUGUGGAUGGACUCGCGGCCUAUCAGCUUGUUGGUGGGGUAGUGGCCUACCAAGGCGGCGACGGGUAGCCGGCCUGAGAGGGUGACCGGCCACAUUGGGACUGAGAUACGGCCCAGACUCCUACGGGAGGCAGCAGUGGGGAAUAUUGCACAAUGGGCGCAAGCCUGAUGCAGCAACGCCGCGUGCGGGAUGACGGCCUUCGGGUUGUAAACCGCUUUCAGCAGGGACGAAGCUUUUUGUGACGGUACCUGCAGAAGAAGCACCGGCUACUACGUG
rnacentral:rRNA from 1 species